rnacentral:lncRNA from 1 species
UCUGAUCGCAAGUUGAAAGGAAAGCUGCCUGACCGUGAGCGAAGGCAUGUCAGCAAGCGCGAGCGAGCCCGGUCGACGAUUCGACCGAAAAGAAGUCCGGUGCCAGCGAGUGAGCGAGCCAUGCCAACACGCGAGUUGAAGUCCGGCCACUGACCGCGAGCGAGCCCUGGCGGCGAUAGGGCGGCGAUCGACCGAGAAAGAGGGAUUGGAAGAGAGCGAGCAUGCAAGAGCGAGAAAUGGGGAGCGAGCGAGGUCACCUCAGAUCAGCAGCACUCCACGCCUAGCUUCCAGUUCAAAUCUACUCCCUAACCUCUUUUUUAACUUGAUCGAAG